rnacentral:rRNA from 1 species
GACGAACGCUGGCGGCGUGCUUAAUACAUGCAAGUCAACGACUUUUAGAGUAGCAAUAUUCUAAAGGAAGUGGCGCACGGGUGAGUAACACGUAGGUAAUCUGCCUUCAGGACUGACACAACUCGUCGAAAGACGGGCUAAUAUCAGAUAAUGCAGCGGCUCCGCAUGGAGACAGUUGUUAAAGUACAAGCGCCUGAAGAUGAGCCUGCGGUCCAUUAGCUAGUUGGUAGAGUAAAAGCCUACCAAGGCAACGAUGGAUAGCUGGUCUGAGAGGAUGAUCAGCCACACUGGAACUGAGACACGGUCCAGACUCCUACGGGAGGCAGCAGUAAGGAAUAUUGCUCAAUGGACCGAAAGGCUGAAGCAGCAACGCCGCGUGAAGGAUGAAUGGCCUUUGGCCUGUAAACUUCU